rnacentral:rRNA from 1 species
GUCGAGAAUCUUUCACAAUGGGGGCAACCCUGAUGGAGCGACGCCGCGUGGAGGAUAAGGUCUUCGGAUUGUAAACUCCUGUCAUGCGUGAACAAGGUUGCUUGGUUAAUACCUGGGCAAAUUGAUGGUAACGCAAGAGGAAGAGACGGCUAACUCUGUGCCAGCAGCCGCGGUAAUACAGAGGUCUCAAGCGUUGUUCGGAAUCACUGGGCGUAAAGGGUGCGUAGGUGGCGUGGUAAGUCAGAUGUGAAAGCCCGGGGCUCAACCUCGGAACUGCAUCCGAUACUGCCAUGCUAGAGUACUGGAGAGGUGGCUAGAAUUCUCGGUGUAGCAGUGAAAUGCGUAGAUAUCCAGAGGAAUACCAAAGGCGUAGGCAGGUCACUGGACAGUUACUGACACUGAGGCACGAAGGCCAGGGGAGCGAACGGGAUUAGAUACCCUGGUAGUCC